UGCAGAGAAGACUAGGCUUGACUGAGAAGCUCGGCUCUGGAGAUGAACCAAGCAUGACCCUCAGGACCGGUAAAGGCUUUGCAAACAUCACACAUUGCAAAAGAAAUCACUUAUCUGACCUACAGAAAUGAAAACCAAGGAAUGUUCGAAGCCAGCCUAAGGACAGCAGUCCGGAUAGCUGAGACGAUCAUGGGCUUAUAGACGACGGGAAGGAAUGGAGCUGAUACGAUUUUGAAGGCCUCCCAGUAGACCCAGCGUUGAAAAGAUUUUACCUCAAUGUGUACAUCCAACGGACCCGGCGUUCCCUCUUGCCUUUCGUGCACAUACACGGACCCUCACUCGGAAGGUCAGGAGCGACACAGGGGCUGCUGAGGACGUCCCAGAAAGCCCCCUGCUCCGUCACAGCCUCCCUGCAAUCGCCAGCAUCCUUUGGCGUGUUGAACAGCACGGGCCUCAUCCUCAGUAAUUUGUGGCUUGCUAUGUACUCACGCCAUGAUUUAAUCCCUCAAGAAAAUAUUCCUCCCCCUAAGACACACA